CUUGACAGUCUGUUGACAGCCAUCAGGGUCCUUCAUCCUCUACUGGGAAGCUAUACAAUUCAAAAGAAGCAUCAGGAACUUCCUCAGAGUACUGCUAAGGCAGGCUUAAUUUGCAGCAGAAAGCCUUUUAUGAGGAACUAGCAGAAGGAAUUGAUCAAACCUGAAGCUUUACAGAAGCGAAUUCUCCUUUGGGUCUAUGUGGAGGAUGACAGGGCCUCCUGGCAAAAUGAAAUGCCCCCUUUAGAGCAGAUCCGGUAACUUCCCACAGCACUAAACCAACAGGCAGAGCUGUCAAGGGCUUCAGUCACUUGUUUUCUGUCUUCAUCAAGAGAAGAGCACAAAACUGCCGGACCCAGAGCUCACUUAGUUGGUGUGUUACCUUCCUAUCGCUGCUGUAACAAAUUGCCACAAACUUAGUCACUCAACACAAGGUUAUUAUCAUCUAGUUCUGGAGGUCGGAAGUCUGAAGUCAGUUUCACUCGGAUUUAGCCAAGUGUCUACAGGUCCGGUUCCUUCUGGAGACUUCAUUUCCUUGCCUUUUCCAGCUUUUCAAGGCUGCUGCAUUCCUUGCCUCCUGGCUCCUUCC
rnacentral:lncRNA from 1 species